rnacentral:lncRNA from 1 species
CACAGAUUCAGAGUGAGAGAGGGAAAAGCAGACUCCCCGCAGAGUAGGGACCAGAUGCAGGGUUCCAUCCCAGGACCCUAGGAUCACGACCUGAGCCGAAGGCAGACGCUUAACCAUCUGAGCCAUCCAGGCACCCUCAAACGGUGUUUUUGAAAUUGUUUCUUGUAUGUCAUUUAUAUCUUAAAGCUGUUAAAGAAAGAAAAAAAAAAGACACUAAGGUUAAUGUGCCUGACAGGUCUGAGGGCUCGAGUGGGUUGCGCAUUCAGAUUUCGCUGGCUAGACGAAGCGGGUGACAGCCUCCUGGAGGGACCUGGAUCCCACGCGGGCACCGGUGAGGACGAGAGACAGGUCCAUAGGUCAUUACUCCAGGGGGUACUAGCCUGCGUGGGGCGGCCACUAAGGAAGUGAGCUCAGCUGCGCAUGCGUCCGGCCCGGCCAGUCGAAAGACAGUCAUCCGUCUUUUGUUUUUCAAAAUUAACAAAAUAUGCCUUAAUAUUUGCCCGGAAGAGUGUGAAACAUUCACUCCUGGCCUCUCUUUCACUUGGUUUAUUCUUGUUUGGACGAACGAAGGGGAAGAGGCCGUGGGUCGAGCCCGGCAUCGACGAAGACAGCCAUGCCGGUCAGGCCCCCAACCGCACGCUGCUAUAAAUAGCUGGGCCCCGCCAUCGCCGCUCUUUUUGUGCGACGCUCUGACUCCUUCAGUUUGGGCAUGUUGCGGUGCCGCUGGGAGCAGCUGGGGCCCCCUCCCCUACACCAAGGGGAGGCGGCGGCCCCGGCGUCCUGCGCUGUCUUCGCACGGCUUCCUGCGUGUAGGUAUCUCGGGGCCCUACCGGUUGAGGGGGCCGCAGUCUCGGGCUGAGCAGGAUGAACUGCCAUUACAGACUAGAGUUUCUGAUGCGUCCAUGACGCCACUGUUUGGAACUGACCCAGCCCAGGUCAGGGGAUACUUGGCUGGAGUCGUCCCGGCCUCGGCUGACGCCCUGUUUCUUCCCAGGCCCCUGGUCCUCGCAGGCUGGACCGCAGCACCACGAGGGUGUUUUAAGAUGUCCGCCGGUGCGUUACCGUUGAAUGAACCAUGA